UCUGAUAGGGGACCCUUGUGGGUGUCUCUCCCCACACACUGAGAACUGCUGCUGUAGAAGGUAAAGGUGUAGCUUCUUCAAAACCUUUUUGUUUUUACAGUUUCUAAUGUUAAGUAUAGAAAGAAGAAUUCCAUUAAGAGGAGCGAGCUGUUCAUUAAGCAUUGUUUGAGUUCUGUGUUCAAGUAUGCAAGAUGUCAAAGGUAGGAGCAUGGAAAAGACAAGGUUGAUCUAUCUUCUGUUUUGAUUCCAUGAUGUCAGAGUAGUAAUCACUUUAGCUAUAAAGACAUUGGACAUCAUAGCCUGUUUGAUGUCCAUUGGAUAUCAUAGCCUGCUGUCUGCCCUAGGUCUGCUUGAUGCAACAGCUAACUGGAUGAAGCACCACACUCAACACUACACUGGUUCUUGAAAACUGAGAAGGGUUGGUCUCCAAGUAUCCUGUCAAUGCUGAGAUCAUCCACACAGCUGCCUCAUGCCUUCCUCUUGAUGACAUACAUACCCAGCGAUGGAAUUGUGGCCAUCCUGGUGGACCAUGGACCAAGAAGCUUCCCAUGGGCCAACAGGACAACAGGAGAGUACAAAAGGACAGAGCAGUGGAACAAGAUGUGAUUAUCUUGGGCUACACCAGAAUCCCCAGGAGGGUUUGUACCCAUGGACCACAUGCAUGCCUGGUGCCCAGUGUCCUCGGAGAUCAGAGGAAGGUAUCAGAUUUGGGUCCUCUGCAAGAGCAAAAUGUGCUGUUAACUGCUGUACUGUCUGUCCAGCCUCAAGAGGGACAGCUUUUAAGAACCAAUGGCUCCCAGCUUUACCCUGGAACCACAGUGGAGCUAGUCCAGAGUAGGUCUAAGUUUGUUUUUCAUAAACUUCCUGAAUAAAGCAGCCAGCGUUGAAAACCACAGCCCUAGGGCACCAGAUAUUUCAGGAAACAGUAUGAUCAGAUGGUGCAUACCUUAAAAAUCCAUCCUCCUCCUGACAUUCCAGGCCCAAAUAAAAAUAGAGAUUUAAAAUAUGUUCCCUAA